UAGGGAAUCUUCCACAAUGGACGCAAGUCUGAUGGAGCAACGCCGCGUGAGUGAAGAAGGUUUUCGGAUCGUAAAGCUCUGUUGUUGGUGAAGAAGGAUAGAGGCAGUAACUGGUCUUUAUUUGACGGUAAUCAACCAGAAAGUCACGGCUAACUACGUGCCAGCAGCCGCGGUAAUACGUAGGUGGCAAGCGUUGUCCGGAUUUAUUGGGCGUAAAGCGAGCGCAGGCGGAAUGAUAAGUCUGAUGUGAAAGCCCACGGCUCAACCGUGGAACUGCAUCGGAAACUGUCAUUCUUGAGUGCAGAAGAGGAGAGUGGAAUUCCAUGUGUAGCGGUGGAAUGCGUAGAUAUAUGGAAGAACACCAGUGGCUAAGGCGGCUCUCUGGUCUGCAACUGACGCUGAGGCUCGAAAGCAUGGGUAGCGAACAGG
rnacentral:rRNA from 1 species